rnacentral:rRNA from 1 species
AGAGUUUGAUCCUGGCUCAGAUUGAACGCUGGCGGCAUGCCUUACACAUGCAAGUCGAACGGUAACGCGGGGCAACCUGGCGACGAGUGGCGAACGGGUGAGUAAUACAUCGGAACGUGCCCAGUAGUGGGGGAUAGCC